rnacentral:lncRNA from 1 species
UUAUAUUAUGAUAUUCAUAUAAAUCAGACAAACUUUGGGCUAUUGUGCAAUAGCAUGGUUCAGUUUAUGUGCUUCAAAUCACACGGGUCGGAGAAACAAACUGACUCUCCUUUUGGCUAUUGUGCAGUAGCACGGUUCAGUUCAACCGCUUGACCAAAACAACUCCAAAUCAGUAUGACUCGAGCAGUUUGAAUGAUGUACCUUGGCUACACGGGCGGAUGUAAUUCCGAUGAAGUUGGCAGUACGGAGAAAUUCCGGCUAGGUUGGCAGAACAGUGAGAUUUCCAUGACUUCGGCAGAAUGGCAAGAUACCAAUGUCGAGCACGGAUGAAACGACGCAAUUGGGUUGGGGCUUCAGUCGAGGGAGUGGAUGUGUAUUUAUAUGUUUUGGGACUCUAGAAUGGCCAAAUCAGUCCCUGUCGGACACCCCAUGGGCGCACGAAGGAUUGGAUCAAGACAAACACAUUACAAUCCAGUAUGUGGAAGGCAAAGCAUAGAGAUAAAAACUACCAAUACAUAUGUUUUGAAAGUGAGUCACUAAUAAGAUCAGAAAACCAGGAUGCUUCUGGUAGAAUAUAUAGGCCUUUCAUUGCUACACCUGCCAUUAUAUAGAAUGAGAAAGUAAGUCAUAUCAGUAAGUGUGGUCUGCCACAGAGCAUAAAGGAACUCAGUUGAUUAAGUAGCUAUAUAUGCACAUGUUAAAAAAAUCUAGGCUACAAAGCCAAAAAAAAUAGGAAGUAAUCUGAUAUUAUUGCUCCAGUUUAUACAUGAAGCCCCAUUGUUCAGUUUAGAUGGCAAUUUAAAGCAAGAGCACCAACUCAUACUAUGGAAACCUAAAGAGCAAACAACAAAAUUACCCAUUUACAUAAUCUAACAAACUUUAAGGUAGCAGUCCUGUGACCACAAGUUUACCAGUUACAAUAAACUUCCAAAUCAAUUUGCCUUUCAGCACAUACAUGUUGAAGUAUCCUCUCUUCAGUUCAUGCUAAGCUCCAAUUUAAAAUCUGGCAUGUAAACUGA